UACGUAGGAGGCGAGCGUUGUCCGGAAUCAUUGGGCGUAAAGCGCGUGUAGGCGGCCCGGUAAGUCCGCUGUGAAAGUCCAGGGCUCAACCCUGGGAUGCCGGUGGAUACUGUCGGGCUCGAGUCCGGAAGAGGCGAGUGGAAUUCCUGGUGUAGCGGUGAAAUGCGCAGAUAUCAGGAGGAACACCAAUGGCGAAGGCAGCUCGCUGGGACGUGACUGACGCUGAGACGCGAAAGCGUGGGGAGCAAACAGG
rnacentral:rRNA from 1 species